CUGGAGACAGCUUUUCAAAGUCAUGUGACUAGACCAUGUGACUUCCACUUAAAACUCCUCAGUAGUCCCAGUAGCUUAGGAUAAAGACGCGAAUCUUCGACGGGCCUCCUGGGUCCACACAGCUGGCUUCUCCCAACUCAACCUCCCUCCACCACGUGGCUUUCUCUCUGCUGAGAUGGCCACGGCAUCUCCUUGACGAGAGGGACCCCCAGGGAGUGGACCUUCCUGACCCUUGCUGAUGGCCGCCUCCAGAGGAGGGAUGCAAAACCCAGCCUGGCUCCCCUGAGAACCGAGUUCUGCCAGACACCAACGCUCACGCCUUCCUUCCAUCGCCUGGUGAAGAAACUCUGGUUUUUAUCUUAGGAGAAUGAGGAGGGAAAAAAAGAAAAAGAAAAGAACGAAUCCUUGUUAAAUGAAGUAAGAGCUGGAAGAGGAGAGAAAUGGAUCCUGUUCGAUGAGGCGGGAGCUGGAGAGGAGUGAAUUACUCUGCUGAGCAGACAGAGAAGAGUUUCAAGUUUUCGCAGCAGCUCAGGAGGAAAGGGAGAGAAGGACGCGAGGAUGCAGAUGAGUGGGGAAGAGGAAUCAGCAGAAAUUCUCCAGGGCGGGAAGAUGGAGGGGCGGGAGGAGGGCAUCUGGAAGGAUCUUCUCUGUUCCAAUCAGCACUUCCAUCUUGAGUAAA
rnacentral:lncRNA from 1 species